rnacentral:rRNA from 1 species
GUAGGUGGGCAAGCGUUGGUCCGGAAUUAUUGGGCGUAAAGCGCGCGCAGGGCGGUCCUUUAAGUCUGACUGUGUAAAGCCCACGGCUCAACCGUGGAGGGUCAUUGGAAACUGGGGGACUUGAGUACAGAAGAGGAAAGCGGAAUUCCAAGUGUAGCGGUGAAAUGCGUAGAGAUUUGGAGGAACACCAGUGGCGAAGGCGGCUUUCUGGUCUGUAACUGACGCUGAGGCGCGAAAGCGUGGGGAGCAAACAGGAUUAGAUACCCUGGUAGUCCACGCCGUAAACGAUGAGUGCUAAGUGUUAGGGGGUUUCCGCCCCUUAGUGCUGCAGCUAACGCAUUAAGCACUCCGCCUGGGGAGUACGGCCGCAAAGGCUG